AAGGCUGGGGGAGGCUACAAUGUGUUAUCAUCUGAGGUCAUGUACAGAGAUCUUCUCACCCACAGCUCCUCUAACACCAGACCCCACGGAGCUGCAAGAACUCUAGUUUCCAAGCUGAGAUUUGACUCAACUCUCAACUCUCAUGCUCCCCUGGCCUGCAUCUCUGCCAUGAGUCAAGUACCAGAGCAGCUGUGCCUUUUAUUGGGAAUCUCUGUCCUAACAGUCAUCCUCGUCUUCAGUGUACCAUCCAAAUGGGGCUGGACAAAGCCUCCACAGAGGCCCAUGCAGGUAGACUGUCUAGCACCAUGCAUACUCUCUUCCUGGGAGAUUAACAUGACUUUCAUCCAAGGCC
rnacentral:lncRNA from 1 species